UAUAAAUGUGAUUGAAUUUACUAAAUUAGUAUUAGUUAUGUUCUUGAAAAUUAAAAAAUUUGGCGGUAUUUUAGUCUAUUCAGAGGAACCUGUUCUAUAAUUGAUAAUCCACGAUUUAUUUUACUUAAGUUUUUAAUUUGUAUAUCGUUGUAGAUUGAAUAUUUUAAAAGAAAUUUAAUAUUCAGGAAUUUAAAUUAAAAAGUAAAUCAAAUCAAGGUGCAGUUUAUAUUUAAGGAGAAAUGGGUUACAAUAAAUUAAUUUAUAUGGAUAAUUAAAUGAAAUUUUAAUUUGAAAGUGGAUUUGAAAGUAAUUUUAUUAAAUUUUUUAAAAUGAUUUUAGCUCUAAAAUAUGU
rnacentral:rRNA from 1 species